AUACGUAGGUGGCAAGCGUUAUCCGGAAUUACUGGACGUAAAGCGCACGCAGGCGGCCGGUCAAGUCUGACGUGAAAGCUCCUGGCUUAACUGGGAGAGGUCGUUGGAAACUGAUUGGCUUGAGGCAAUGAGAGGGACACGGAAUUCCCGGUGUAGUGGUGGAAUGCGUAGAUAUCGGGAGGAACACCAGUGGCGAAAGCGGUGUCCUGGCAUUGACCUGACGCUCAUGUGCGAAAGCGUGGGGAGCGAACGGGAUUAGAAACCCCGGUAGUCC
rnacentral:rRNA from 1 species